UUUUCCUACGGGACGCAGCAGUGAGGAAUAUUGGUCAAUGGGCGGAAGCCUGAACCAGCCAAGUCGCGUGAGGGAAUAAGGCCCUACGGGUCGUAAACCUCUUUUGCCGGGGAGCAAGGGCGGGGACGUGUCCCGGCCCGGAGAGUACCCGGAGAAAAAGCAUCGGCUAACUCCGUGCCAGCAGCCGCGGUAAUACGGAGGAUGCGAGCGUUAUCCGGAUUUAUUGGGUUUAAAGGGUGCGCAGGCGGCGAGUUAAGUCAGCGGUAAAAUUUCGGGGCUCAACCCCGACGAGCCGUUGAAACUGG
rnacentral:rRNA from 1 species